AAAGCGGUGGACGUGCCGUCGUAAUCGAGUGCGUGGAAAAAAUUAAAGUGGCCACAGAGGCCGUGUGCCGAUUUGUCGUCCCAAGAGGGAAACGCGUGUGCUCCGCUAGGAGAAAACAAAGAAGGUGAUUCGGCUUCUACACCUGGCCUCGUAACAACUUCACGGCCAGCAACUCAGGAACGACGAACGGAGAAUCGCCUCACCAACAUCAAUCACAAAAGGGCCAAGAAAGCCACGUGCUCAUCCGGGCCAAAGCCAAACACCACGAGAAGAUCAUCAGAAAGGGGGUCGAAUUUCGACCCUCCUUUUUUUUACCACUACAACCUUGGGAAAAACUUCCUUUUCUCGAGCAAAACCCUUUUGACAUUAACCUUUCAAAUCUGAUUUUGCAAAAUCUUCGGCAUUCACCACGUUACCACCAAACCUUCCACCCAUCAAUCACCAACCGUCUGGCGAGCCCAGCUGCAAAACAUCCCCACCGGAACAAGCUGCACAGCUACGAGGGCCGCAUCCUACGUUUGAGGUUAACCUUGCCAGGUGGUCGUUCAUCAGAGGUGUCAUGGAGGUGCUGGAUCAGAUUUCUAUACCGGUCGCUUCCAUUUCGCUACUCCAGUGGCGUGAUUCCGGUGG